AUCAGGAGCUGCCACGUCAGCUAUUCAACGAGACCCCAGUACACUCUGUCACACGGGAUUGUUGCUCAAACAAAACCAAAAUCACCAAACACGUUCUGUUCUGUUCAGAAGAAGCCCUUACCUGGAGAAAACAGAGUCCGGUUGCCUCCUCUCCUCUGACCAACGGAGCUCGUCCCCGCCUCCAUCGGACUCUGUGCUGGAACCUGGAAAAUGCGCCGGAGCCGCCGUGAUCGUGGUGUCGCAACCUCAAGAGUUAGAGGGACUCCUGUCAAGGUGUUGUUUGAGUUGUGUCAAAAGCAAGGGAAGCAAGUUGACAUUAAGUAUUGGAAGAGUGGGGAAAAGAAUGUUGCAACUGUAUAGGUUGAUGGUAAGUUUAUCGCCUCAGGUUCUUCUGAGAAGAAGGAAACUGCAAAGCUAAAUGCAGCGAAGCAAGCUUUGCUCAAGUUAUCGGAAUCUAUGCCCACUAAUGUUGGGAGGUUAGAUUUUUCUUUUGGACUCAAUAAGUCAUUUGAGAUUGACGGAGCAAAGCAGAAGUUACAUGAGCCUUGUGGCAAGAAAAAAUGGCCUAAGCCUAUUUACAGCCUUGAGAAGGAUGAGGGUCCACCACACGACAUGAAAUAUGUUUCAUCAGUUCAAAUACCAACAGUAGAUGGUAUUUUAUAUAAAGAGGGAGAUGAAAAGUCAAGAGGAAAGGAAGCACAAAAUUCUGCAGCUUCCUGGAUUAUUCGGGCCUUACAAGAAUUUAAUUAUCUAUGAUGCUGCUCCUUUUUUAGAAGAAUAUCAGUGAAUAACAGUUAGAAUGGUUAGGUUUAGUUUAGAAGAAUAUCAGUGAAGAACAGUAAGAAUGACUUGGUUAAUGGCCACAACUAAAAUACAUGGAAUACUUUAUGGAAUUGCAAGUAGACCCAUGUGAUAUAGGGGUUAAAUGAAUUAUGUUCACUUGAUUGUUUGGGCAUGAUUAGUUUAUGCCACUAGAUUUAACAAUUAACAUUAACACUUACAGUAUAAAGUGAAAGUUCCAUAUGUAUCAACCACUCUCAUUGUUGUAUGCAACCUAAUUGAUUGCUUGCUC